rnacentral:ribozyme from 1 species
UUUUUUUUUUUUUUUUUUUUUUUUUUUUUUUUUUUUCAU